rnacentral:rRNA from 1 species
GCUGUGGAAACCUCCUUGAUUGGUGGUAGAAGCGCUUCCGCAUUCAACACAUGCAUAUGCCCCUGUCCGUGGAGGUUACUGUGAACAAAACAGCGUGUCCAAAGCAACCACAUGUCUGGCUGAAUGAUCUAGCAUGGAAUAACAAGGCAUCGACCACUGGAGUCAGCCUUUUUGUUGGUUUUACAUGACCCAGUUGGGCAAUGCAGGGCUUGUGCUUCAUUGAGGUUCUUAGUCAGCUCUACCGAACUGUCUUCCCUCAGUUGGACCUUGUUCCCUAUCGGGAUCAAUGGAAGCCAUCGGGGUGGUAUGUAUUCCGACGUGAGCGGUGAGAUGCUUAGACCGUUGGAAGACAAACGACAGCGAAGGCAUUCCGCCAGAAUGUUUUCAUUAAUCAAGAACGAGAGUGUGGGGAUCGAAGAUGAUCAGAUACCAUCGUAGUCCAUUACCGUAAACUAUGCCAACUCGGCAUUGGGAGUCUGUUCACUUUGAAGACUCUCCCAGCAUCAUCCCCCAAUAACGAGAAAUCCAAGUCUAUGGGUUCAGGGGGGAGUACAGUCGCAAGGCUGAAACUUAAAGGAAUUGACGGAAUGACACUACAAGGCGUGGAGUAUGCGGCUUAAUUUGACCCAACACGGGGAAGCUUACCAGGUCAGACACAGUAAGGAUUGACAGAUUGAGAGCUCUUUCUUGAUCCUAUGGAUGGUGGUGCAUGGCCGUUUCUGGUUCGUGGAGUGAUCUGUCUGCUUAAUUGCGAUAACGAACGAGAUCUCUACCUCUAAAUAGGCGCCGGUCUCGCAUGUAAGUAGGGAUGUGUUGGGGGCCUUCGUGUCCCCUCAUGUCCUGAGAGUGCCGGGAUCGCUUCUUAGACGGACUGUGCAUGUCUUUAAUGCACGGAAGAGGGAGUCAAUAGCAGGUCUGUGAUGCUCCUAGAUGUUCUGGGCUGCACGCGCACUACACUGGCACAGUAAACGAGUUGCACCUGCUUCGGCAGUCCUGCUUAGAAGUGAGCGUGGGAAAUCUUAGAAAACUGUGCCGUGCUGGGGAUAGAUGAUUGCGACUAUUUGUCUUGAACGAGGAAUGCCUAGUAGAGGUACUUCAUCAGAGUACCUUGAUUGUGUCCCUGCCAUUUGUACACACCGCCCGUCGUUGCUACCGAUUGGCUGUAAAAUAGAGGCCUUAAGAGUCGCUUCCGCAAAGCUUUGCUUUUGAGGUUGUGACAAAUCUGGCCAAUAUUUCAUUGCUAGAGGAAGCAAAAGUCGUAACAAGG